UGCGAUACGUAGUGUGAAUUGCAGAAUUCCGCGAAUCAUCGAGUCUUUGAACGCAAGUUGCGCCCGAGGCUUGUCCGAGGGCAUUUCCGCUAGAGCGUCAC
rnacentral:rRNA from 1 species